CGCCAAUAAAUAGUCGUAGGCGGAACUUGGCUCUCUCUCGGCCUUAGCGCCAUCUUCCUAGGAACAACUGCGCCAUGAGAGCCAAGUGGAGGAAGAAGCGAAUGCGCAGGCUGAAGCGCAAAAGAAGAAAGAUGAGGCAGAGGUCCAAGUAAACCAGCUUGUGCACCCGUCGAGGCCAGAGGAGCAGGAGGAAUAAGGAAUGCCAUAGGCUGGGACGCUGAGUUUGUUGGACUGCAUGCCGCCGUGAUUUCCCAGUGGAUCUAGAAACUUCCAUCGCCAAGAUCGUUUCUGAAAGACACACCUUGCUCAUAACCAAGCAUCCCCUGAUGGUCCUGUGCCCCGGACCUGUGACAUUCUGGACUAGUUCUGUUCAUAGUUGUGGCCGAGUGUGACGCGUGUACAAUAAACCAUCUCUUUUGCUGUUGCAGCU